rnacentral:misc_RNA from 1 species
AUUGCGCCAUGGACGAUUUUCCCUUCAGGAUGAAGGACGUAGUGCGGCAGGGAUUGCGUUUAUAGCAAAAGGAAAAACCAGGAUGUUGAAUGUGCGCACGGAGCGCGUUGCAGGAAUAUCCUUCGAAAGAAGGUGUAAAAAGGCGGCAGGUUUAACCUGCCGCCUUUUUUCUUUGUUCGCUU